rnacentral:lncRNA from 1 species
GCUUAAUUGAGAAUGGGAUAAGGAUUACAAUCAUUUCUUGAAAUGAUAUUUUGAAGUAAUUACUGGAUGAAAAUGUGGAGAAGUAAACAUGCUUUCUGGAAGGCAGUUUGAGUUUGUGAGCAGGCGUUGAACAUUCUACAUUGUUUGAGUCACUGCUUCUUCUCUUGUUUCUACUUCCAUCUCAAAGAGACUUUUUUAAAAAGUUGUUUGGCUUGUAUGUGUUCCUAUGUCUCAAUGUGCUCCUCUACGAAGUUCACAGGCAGAGCAGUAUGCCUGAUGUGUUAGACAGUACAAUACAGCUGGGAAGCUGUGGCUCUGUCCCAAACUGGUUUAGGUCAUCUCCAAAUGCUAUGAAGUUGAGCCUGGAUCCCAUAGCAAAAGGAGGACUGACUUCCUUCAUCCUGAAAGAAACCAUGGCAAAUAGAAGCUUACACAUUUGGCAAAGGAGCCUGUCAUCACUAUCUCUCAAGAUUGGAUGCAUGCAGAAGAAUUUUAUCAGC